rnacentral:lncRNA from 1 species
AACACAUCAUAAGCAGCACAUGCCUCAAUUAAAUCAUUGGCAAGAUUAGAAAGACAGCCUAGAAGUAACUUUGGGCACACACAGAGUAUUUCACAAAUGUUAUUUGAAUUGAAAAAUGGAUCUUCAAACAAGACAGAAAAGAUCCAUCUAAACUUUUACUUCAUUGGAGGGUCCUUCCUGACCCAUGCAACUCAACAAAAAACUCUCACAGUUUUUAUAUGCUUUGUUGGGGAUUAACCCAUCUUGCAUUGCAUUGCUAGCUUAGUAUGUCUAGCAUGGGCAUGCCUGCUGAAGUUUGGAACUUCCCAUCAAGGAAACAGGAAAAUGCCAUUGGCAAUGAGCUGAAGACUGAUUUACUCUACCAGUUUGGAACAUCUGUUAUUGCUGCUACUACGGUUUCUAUCACUGUUUGAUGCUGGGACUCUUAAGCUCCAACCACGUUUUCACCGAGCUGAGUCGCCUUCUUAUCACCCCUUUCUGGAGCAGCAGGACAUCUGGGGAUGAGAAGAUGGAGAGAUCAUCCUUAUAUAAUGUUGCAGUCUGGAAGCAUCACUCUCAAAAAGCCAUUGUAGAGAAUCCAAGCCGAGUUUAAGAGUGCUGUGGAAAUACACUGCUGCUACUGCUGUUUCUAUUACUGUUUGAUGCUGGGACUCUUAUGCUCCAACCACGUUUUCACCCAGCUGAGUCGCCUUCGUAUCACGCCUUUCCAGUUUUGAUAGACUAGAAAAAUGACAAGACUCCAAGUCCUUGAAGAGGAGGAAAAGUGUGAAGAAAACAAAAAAGGGAGAUUUAUGUCUGCUUCACCAUUUUGCCCAAGACUUGACCUGUCAUACACUGAAGCUCAGAGAGGAAGAAAGGACCGUGUGAGAGAAGAAGGGAACAGCCUUUCAUCCAUAGGAGAAGUUCGUCUAUGACAAAGCCACUAGCUCCAUGUGGCCGCUGAGCACUCAAAAUGUGGCCAGUCUGAAUUGAGAUAUGUUGUUAGUAUAAAGUCCACAUCGGCUUUUUGAGCACUUUGUAUGAGAAAAAAGAAUACCAAAUAUCUCCUUAAUAAUUGUUACAUUGAUUAUAUGUUGAACUGAUAACAUUAUGGAUAUAUUGGAUUAAAUAAAAUAAAUUAUUAAAAUCAAAU